ensembl:snRNA U6 U6 spliceosomal RNA
GUACUCACUUCAGCAGCAUGUAGACCAGAACUGGAACAAUACAGUGAAGAUUAGCAUAGUCCCUGUAUUAGAGUGACAUGCACCUAGUGACAUGUUCUAUAUUUUU